rnacentral:lncRNA from 1 species
UUUUUUUUUUUUUUUUGAAACGGAGACAAACUUCUUUAUUGAUAAUAAAAAUUAAAAGUACAAGAGAGUUAUACAAUGAGUGUAAUAAAGAAGCCUAGAGAAGAUAAGCGAAGGGGGAUCAAAAGGUGCACCCAGACAUCUCAACUAGGUUGACACCCUCUUAGCACAAAACAUCAUAUCCCAAUUAAAGCUAAAAAUAAAAUAUGUCAACAUACAAUGGAGACAUAGUCCAGCCUAGUACAAAGAGCUAAGACAACACGCCAAUAGCUCCGAGUUUGGACAAACUGGGAUAGUUCUGGUUACCAGUGAGACUAGAUGGUUGAGGGGUUCCAAUAGACUCACUCACAUAAGCUCGCCUUGAAUUCUGUUUGUCGUUCAGAGGACGCUUCUUACCUCCUGGGGUACAACCAUGUAAUUUCCAACAUUGUUCUUUGGUGUGCCAUUUUUUCUUACAAUGCUCACAAAUAGGAACCAAUUUUCCGUUGUGUUUCUCACUGUCAUGAGUAGAGGACCUCUCGCUAAAGACAACAGAAUCAAUGGCAAGAAUGGUCAGAAUGUUCAUAGCACUCAUAUGGUCCUCCUCAAGGCGGACUUUAGAAGAAACCUCUAUUAGGGAGGGAAUAGGUCUGUAGCCCAAUAUACGACCAUAAAACUACAUCGAACUUUGAGUUUAGACCAGCAAUGAAGUCAUAAAUUUUGUCAACCUCUUCAAGUCUAGAGUGUUAUAUGCCAUCACUAAGACAGUUCCAGACAAUUCCUCUACAAAGAACCAUUUCCUGCCAAAUGAUGGAAAGUUUGUUAAAAUAAGAUGUGACAUCCAUAGUCUUCUGCUUGCAUUCAUGGGCUUGUUUUCUCAGAGUAUAGAGACAAGAGGCAUGUUGACACUUCGAAUAAAGUUUUUGAGUUGUGUUCCAUAUAUCCUUGGCAGUUGCAGCAUACAACAAAGGCUUUCCAAUCUAUGGCUCCAUACUGUUGAUUAACAUGGUCUGAGUGAAAGGAUUCUCCCCAUUCCAAACAUGUUCCUAGAAAUCACCAAAUGGAGGACGAGGUUAUUAAUAUAAUUAGAUUAUUCUUAGGAGAUAUUAUUCUUAGGAGAUAUUAUUCUUAGGAGAUAUUAUUCUGGAGAUAUUAUUUGAUAUUAUUUCCUUAAGUGUAUUUCUCUAUGGUUAUAUAUAGGCUUGUAUCUCUAUUAAGUAAUUAAUGAAAUAUAGAUUUAUUCCAUAAAAUCAACAGAGGUAUCUCACCUGUUAGAAAGCCAAAUUUGUGGCGCGCCUUUGGGAUCAUUUCAACAGAUUGUGACCAAGAGAAGUAGUUCUGGUCAUUCAACUUCUCCCCUAUAAAG